rnacentral:tRNA from 1 species
GUUUGUGUAGCUUAGUCUAAAGCAAAGCACUGAAAAUGCUUAGAUGGGCUUUAAUGAGUCCCACAAGCA